rnacentral:rRNA from 1 species
UCCUACGGGAGGCAGCAGUGGGGAAUCUUCCGCAAUGGGCGCAAGCCUGACGGAGCAAACGCCGCGUGAGUGAAGAAGGGUUUCGACUCGUAAAGCUCUGUUGUCGGGGACGAAUGUGGAGAUGGUGAAUAACCAUUUCCAAUGACGGUACCUGAGAGGAAGCCACGGCUAACUACGUGC